AUAUCUCCUCCUCUGAUGGUGAUCUCUUCGGUCGGCGAUCUCCCGCUUGGUUGUCGGGAUGGAAGUACAGAGCCAACCGCCGACGAUAGACGAGGGAGGUGGAGGGGCGAAUCCGCAGCGGGGGAAGGGGAGGGGCUGCGGGGAACCUAGGCUGGCCGCCGGUGCUAGGCAAGGAAGGAGGAGUGGCGGCGGGGAUUGGGGGCUCGGCGGCGGGGAACCUGGGUGGCUGUCUGAGCAACCUCGCACCUCCGCCCCCAUGAGCAAUAUCGGGCAUGAGCUCCUGGAAUUCGAGUUCCUCCCCGGCUCGGGUACCUCGCGUGGCGGGGCGUAUUUCGUGGCUGGCUCAUGGAGUCAAGGCCCGAGGCCGAGCUUCGCAAGCUUGCGAUGGUCGAGUGCCUCAGCGUCUACAACCACUCACUCGUCAUCAAGAUUGGCGUUCACUUCUUCCUCUGACACUAGGCCUCCUUAGGAGCUAUACACAUGUCAGAAAAAGCUUUCAGCUGGUUCCCAAAGGUCAAAGCUGAAAAGGUAACUGGAGUUGAGACUAAUGAGGCCAUAGCACAGACUGAAACUGAUAAGGUAUUGGUGUCUUUUUUCACAUUUGAUUAUGUUGUGAAUGUGUCAAAUUGAGUGGUUGUGUUUAAACUUACUCUUUUCCUUCUUUAUUCCAUGCCACCAUAGAUGUUUCUACUCCCGAAGUUGGUGUAAUUGAAAAGGAAAAUCAUUUUUCUAAGGGAAAAACACACUUUCCUAUAGAAUUGCAUAUUUACUGGGCUAGCACAAUCA